GGAAUCUUUCACAUGUCCUAUUCAUAAAUGCUCUGUCUGCAAACUGGGUGAAAAUAAGAUUGAUCCUGAUUUGCAAUUUGCUGUCUGCAGGCGCUGUCCCAAGUCAUUUCACAAAAAAUGCUUGCCUACGAAGAUUGCUUUUGAAGAUGAUGAGGAUCAGGGCAUCGUACAAAGGGCUUGGGAAGGUCUUAUUCCAAACCGUAUUUUGAUAUAUUGCUUAGAACAUCUGAUUGAUGAUGAAUUUUGUACUCCGGAUAGAAACCACAUAAAGUUCCCAGAUGAUAGACAACAAAAGAAAAAACAAGCAUCACAACAACUGUCAAGCAAAGUUAAAGUUCUGCAGAAGGAGAGAAGUCUGGCCU